GAGAAGACAGGUCACUGGUUUAGACUUUAUUUGACACAAAACAGGGAACUGCGAAGACAACGGAGAAGAAAACGUGGUUUUAUCUAAUUCAUGAUUAGCAAGAAGGCAAGCCGCUAAAUAUCAAACAGGGGUCUACACCAUUUAAAAUGUUACUGUGGAGUGGGCUGUGUGAAGUUUGACCACCUCCCCAAAGUA